GGAGUGGAGGAGUGGACGCAUCACUGGUGUUCGGGUUGUCAUGCCAAUGGCACUGCCCGGUAGCUAAAUGCGGAAGAGAUAAGUGCUGAAAGCAUCUAAGCACGAAACUUGCCCCGAGAUGAGUUCUCCCUGAGACUUAGAGUCUCCUGAAGGAACGUUGAAGACGACGACGUUGAUAGGCCGGGUGUGUAAGCGCAGCGAUGCGUUGAGCUAACCGGUACUAAUGAACCGUGAGGCUUAACCUU
rnacentral:rRNA from 1 species